rnacentral:rRNA from 1 species
UCCGUAGGUGGCAAGCGUUAUCCGGAAUUAUUGGGCGUAAAGCGCGCGCAGGCGGUUUCUUAAGUCCGAUGUGAAAGCCCACGGCUCAACCGUGGAGGGUCAUUGGAAACUGGGGAACUUGAGUGCAGAAGAGAAAAGCGGAAUUCCACGUGUAGCGGUGAAAUGCGUAGAGAUGUGGAGGAACACCAGUGGCGAAGGCGGCUUUUUGGUCUGUAACUGACGCUGAGGCGCGAAAGCGUGGGGAGCAAACAGG